AUAGGAUCUAGACCUGGCAUAUCUUCAUACGACCAUGCAAAAAUAUCCGGAUAUUCCCGGAGGAGUUGGAUGAUCUUCUUUUUAACCCCUUCCUCUAGAGCUGCACCGAUCUUGAUUUCUCGCUUGUUCUCCUCGGUACCUAUGUUGAUAAGCUCAAUCUCUUCCUGG
rnacentral:pre_miRNA from 1 species